AUGUCAUUUAUUCUGUCAGUAGUGCUGACGUUGAGGUGUUUAAAAUAGUGUUUCGUUUUUCCCCGUGGGUUGACUAAUGAUUGACGACACUGAAAAAUAAUGAAACUCUAUUUCAUUUCACUUUAGAUACAACAAAUACUUCAACUAAAGUUACGUGUAUACUCAGCCACUUUCGCUACUACUCGCGCUACCCACAGUCCUGCUCUAAAUACUUCUGUGGAAGCGUCGACGUGAGCGUAUGUUUACAUUCAGCCUUUACUUCUCUACUGACAGCAAUGGCGGUCAUAAAAGUUAUUGCGGAGACAGCUCUAUGUUUGAUGAUUAUGUACGAUUAUUUGAGUGUUUUGAAGAGAAUCCAAAAAAAAAAAAUACCGCGCAUAAGGAGAUGGUGUAUGUUAUCAAUUCAUCGUUAUAGAACGACAAGCAUUAUGGAUAAUUUUUUCGAAGAGUUGACUUGUGAGGAUUCUGCAGAGUUUUAUAACUUUUGCAGAAUGUCACCUAGAGAUUUCCAAUUUUUGCUUAAUAAAACCAAAGAAAAACCAAACAAGAAUACGAUUACCUAUACCAUCUAAAAUACGUUUGGCAAUAACUUCAAGAUUUUUAGCAACCGGAGAUAGUUAUCGAAGUCUCCACUACUCAUUCAAGGUUUCCGCACCAGCUAUUUCAAAAAUCGUUUCUGAAGUAUGCAAGGCUAUCAACUCUGUUCAUGUGAAUCAAAUUAAGGCAUAUAAUUUGUUACCGGAACAGAAGUAUCUGCUACCGAUGGUUGCAUAUCUUUAAAGUGAGGUUCUGGAGAUUGCAUAGUGACAGAUGAGUAGGCGGAUGAGAUG